rnacentral:SRP_RNA from 1 species
GCUGGGCGUGGGGUUGCGUGCCUGUAAUCCCAGCUACUCAGGAGGCUGAGGCAGGAGGAUCGCUUGAGCCCAGGACUUGUGGGCUGCAGUGAGCUAUGCCGAUGGGGUGUCCACACUAAGUUUGGCAUCAGUAUGGUGACCUCCAGGGAGCGGGGGAUCACCAGGUUGCCUAAGGAAGGGUGAACCGGCCCAGGUCAGAAACGGAGCAGGUCAAAGAGCCUGGAGUAUAGUGAAAGAAAGAGCAAAUACAAAUGACAUCAACAUAUAACCAGAAACAUAUCUAUUCAUAACAUUGU